GUUGUACUCCCUCCGUCCGGAAAUACUUGUCAUCAAAAUGGAUGAAAGGGGAUGUAUCUAGACGUAUUUUAGUUCUAGAUACAUCUCUUUUUAUUCAUUUUGGUGACAAGUAUUGUCGGAUGGAGGGAGUAAUAU
rnacentral:pre_miRNA from 1 species